rnacentral:rRNA from 1 species
AACGAACGCUGGCGGCAGGCCUAACACAUGCAAGUCGAGCGCGCCCUUCGGGGUGAGCGGCGGACGGGUGAGUAACGCGUGGGAACGUGCCCUUUUCUACGGAAUAGCCUCGGGAAACUGAGAGUAAUACCGUAUACGCCCUUUGGGGGAAAGAUUUAUCGGAAAAGGAUCGGCCCGCGUUGGAUUAGGUAGUUGGUGGGGUAAUGGCCUACCAAGCCGACGAUCCAUAGCUGGUUUGAGAGGACGAUCAGCCACACUGGGACUGAGACACGGCCCAGACUCCUACGGGAGGCAGCAGUGGGGAAUCUUAGACAAUGGGGGCAACCCUGAUCUAGCCAUGCCGCGUGAGUGAUGAAGGCCUUAGGGUUGUAAAGCUCUUUCAGCUGGGAAGAUAAUGACGGUACCAGCAGAAGAAGCCCCGGCUAACUCCGUG